GUAAGAAGCCAGCUGGCAUUUGUCCAUAUGAUGGGAACGACAGGCAAGAAAUCCUCAGGGACGGGGGAAGAUUUCUCCAAAGAAUCUAGAAAUCCUUCUGCAAAAAAGAGUCAGUGCAAAUAUCUGCUGAUCAAAUUGGAACAUCCCCAGCUCAAAUUUUCACUCUUCCUGCAGCUCUAAAGUAGAUCCUAAAGGGGGUGUGUGUGUGUGUUUGUGCACGCGCGUGUGCGCGCGUGUUUGGGGUGGGGUGUUAAGUGGGAACAGAUGAGAGGGAAGUAGAGCAGAAGAGGAGCAGUACCAUCUCCAGCUCAAGUGCAGUCUGCUUCCUGCACAGGCCUGGGCUGGGAGGAGGAGGGGCUGGUUGUCUGAAUGAAGCUGUAAACUUCGACUUCUAGAUGGAACUGACAUUCUAAUGACUAGCAGGAGACUGUGUGUUACUUAAGAAUGGCCAGAAAAGCCAAGAAACUGCCCAGCUUUUUAUUGGGGCAGAGAAAAACCCAGUGCAUGGAAUUCAUUGCAAGGAAUAUCAGAAGACCAAACAAUGUGAUCCUUACACCUAGUGAAUACUCUGGUUCGAUGUGCUGGUUACAUUUAGAAUUCCAGGAGAGAAAUAGUACUCCCUGGGAGAAGACGCUCUUAACUCAGAGAUGCGGAGACAAUCACAAAUGCACUAUAAGACAUCUCUCUCCCCAACGGCUGCACUGAAGGUAGGUGCUCUCUACCUGGUUAGAAGGACGUCUGCCAGCAUCCAUUCUGCAUUCUCUCAGCUUAGCAAUACCAGCGGAGGAGGAAGCUGCUUGUUGACAACAUCUGAAGUUUAGCCUUCACCACCUUUUGACCAGGAGAUCUAGGAACUACAAAGACAUCCAAAAUGGGUGGAGAAGGAUGACAGGAUAACAGCAAAACACACUCCCGUUUAGAAAGGGAAGCAUGGGAGACACAGGCAUCACUGAUUUCUGAAUUCCAACUCUGGGUCAAGCAGACCAUGUGAGGCCCCCUACUCUUCAGAGCUCUUGGGGGUCAGGAAUGAUUCUUGAUUAGGUUUGGAUGCUGCCCUCUGAGGGAGCUGCCUUGCCCACUGUUCCUUGACUCUGCCCUCCAGGAGUCCUUUCCUUUUCCAUCAUCCUCCUUGCGUGCAUCUGAAGUGAGGUGAUCCCACUUGGAGGCUCCGGGGUCCCCAGCACACUUUCUGCUUGAGGCACACUCUAAAGGACACUGGAGAAAGGGGACAGAACCAGCAGCAGGUGCCCACACGUCAGGAAACACUCAUCCGCUGAAACAGCUGAGCUUGCCUGGAGAUUUGCAAGCAAUAUAUCCAGGAACAACUCCUGGGCUUUUCUCCUGCUGAGCUCCCAGGAUCACUCCCUUAGACUCAAAUUGUCACCCCCAACUCGCUGUGGUGGCUGCAUGGUCCAGAUGGCGCUGCACCAACCACUCCUCUGGGGCUGGGACUCUAGGAAGCAAGUGACACACCUUCUUAAGACUAACCCGCAGGUCGGCUUUCUUAUUUUUUUUUAAGCAAUAAUCUCUAUGGAGACACCAACAGAGGGUAACAGUAAUCAUCAACAGAGAGAAGGCUUCGGAACACACAACACUUUCAGAAUAUGACAGUUUAUAAUGUCUUGGCCCAUAUCUACUGUGAAGCAGCAACAUCAGUCUUCCAGCCUCUGACCAUCACUCUCCUUUGUGAAGGCCCAGCAAGGAGCCCUUUCUAGUCCAUGUUGAUCAGCCACCUGCCUUGAGGAACUCGAUUUAGGCUGUUUUAUAACCAUUGAUUUGUGUUCAUUAACUUAAACCUCGUCUCUUUUUAAUGGGUUCUUCUAUUAGUCUUAAUAGUUUUUAAUUUGUAAUUAAAGUUUCCUAGAGUCACAAAUUAAAUAUCAUAUCACAGGCAAAUAUAGAUCAUUUUGUCUUCUUGACUUAAAAAGUUAUACCUUGUAUUGCUGUUUCUGGACUUAUUUCAUUGCCCCGAACUUUUAGAGCUACAUUAGACAAUAGGAAAUGGCAGGUAUUUCGGAAUUUAUUGGAAAUGCUUUCAACUUUUCUUUUCUUUCUUUCUUUUUGAGAUGGAGUUUCACUCUUGUUGCCCAGGCUGGAGUGCAAUGGUGUGACCUUGGCUCACUGCAACCUCUGCCUC
rnacentral:lncRNA from 1 species